GCACACUGUUCUCGGGGUUAGUGAUCCAGCUCCCUCCCUAUUAAAAAGCUGAGGUAGCUGGUGUGCCACUAUCCUGUUUACUCAUACAAGACAGCAUCAGCUCACUGCCUAACAGGAACAUGAGAUGGGAUGGAAAUCAAAGGAUAAACAGGAUGUCUACUACAUCCUGGCCAAGCUGGUGGGCUUGAAGCUCUUUCAAGCUCCUUCAACUUGAUGAGGAAUUCCAGCUCUUCUAAGGAGCCAGAGAUCUGCUCAGUUGGUGGCUGCUGUGGACUUGCAGGCUAUGGCUCCACUCCCAGGUGUGAUACAGAGCCAGGGGAUGUCACUCAGGUGGAAGAUAAUGAGAAGACUUGUUGACCCUAACACAUUAAGGGUUUGUAGUAAAAAUCAAACUAAUACAGCUUAGAAGCUGCUGCCUGCCUGGAAAACCAGAAGCUGCAUUUGUUUGCAGAUAUCAUCUAUGGGGCCUGAGAAGACAAACCUAGAGUGGGUAUCUGCAACAGCUCAAAGAAGUGGUGAAGAAGUGUGUGGAGCUACAGGAGCAAUUUCUUAAGACUGUGAGCAUAUGCCUCUUCUCUAAACCUCUCCUGGAGUGUCCUGAAUAGGUCCAGGAAUUAUGGCUAAAGCAGGGCGUCUUACCACAGUUUAAACAUCAGGGGCUCCACCAGCACCAGCUUGAUGGAAGAAAACAGUACAUCUUUGUGGUAACUGAAGUUCAGCUUCAUUCCCAGCUACAAAUAUUGGCAGUAAGUCAAAACAGUAAAAGCCCUACUAUGCAAGUCGCUUGCUUUUUAUAUCUGACAGUUUAUGGGCAUCUGAAAUACUGCUCGUAUUUCUCACCUCUUUGGAUAAUGACAUAUUUUAUAAGUCGAUCCUAUAAUUAAACCUCUCAUAUACCCCAAUUUUGACUGUUUGUUGAGACAUCUUUCCAUAUAGCCUAGACUGCCCUCAAACUCAAGAUCCUCCCAUAUCAUCCUCCUGAGUACUAAGAUUACAGGCCUGCCUGUGUCAUCAAACCUGGCUACUGUCA
rnacentral:lncRNA from 1 species